rnacentral:lncRNA from 1 species
GUGUAGCCUGGGCUCAGAGACCGGAAUGUGGUUGCCCCUCCCUCUGAUUUAUUACCUGGCGCUUUUUACCUAUGUUUGUUUUCACUGCUUGGCUUCCCAAGAGGAAGCGACCUAAAAGUAAACCAAAAAAAAAAAAAAAAAAAAAAAAAAAAAAAAAAAAAAAAAGGGCAUUCAGACAUUCUUAAGGAAAAGCAAAGCUUGCAUUUUGUUUCAGAAAGGACCUGCAGCCUGCCUCGUUCUCCUCGUUCUGUCUUUACCCGCAGCCUGCCUCCCCUACUCCCUCCUGUGUCUACAUCACUGGGCCUGAGAGUGCUACUGCACAGUUUGUUAACUGACACACCUAGAAAGGAAAUAGACUUUUCUACCACAGAACUUCAGAAACUAGGAAUCUGCAGAACUGCAUGUGCGCUCGGGGAGGGAAGGAGUAGGAGACCAUGCUGGCCAUCUUUUCUCACCAUCUAUUCUCCUCAGACUGCCUGGGGCAACUCCGGCUCCUUGGCUCCUUGGAACAUUGUGAGCCGAGUUGCCCUGUUAGUUCUCAAGGCUGAAUCCCGGUAAAGACUGUGGAAUGACACGUUAACUUGUCCAUUCGGAGCAUGACUUUCUUGGUCACCUGUGUAGAAUGAUUCCAGGGGACAAGCUAGGACAGACGCAGGACUGGAUCCUGCUGGUCACCUGUGUAGAAUGGUUCCAGGGGACAAGUUCAGACAGACGCAGGACGGAUCCUGCUGCUCCAGGUCUUCCAUUUGAGCCUUGGGCCUAGCGUUCUGCUUCCUUCAGCCUCAGCUUCCAUGUCCAUAAAAUGCAAAGUUGUCCUUUAGAUUCUUCCAUGUUGUCACAAUGAUAGGGUCCCGAGAAUCAAUUUCAUUUUGGGGGGAAUCCUAGUAGUAGUCAUGAACUAUAUGUUAGUACCAUUUUUAAUUAUGUGAGGAGCCUUCCUACUGUUUACAUAAUGGCUACAAGUGUACCUUCACCUCAGCAAUGAUGAGGCUCCCUUUAUUCACAUCCCUGUCAACAUUUAUCUUGUCUUUUUGAUGGUUGGUUGGUUUGAAUUGGCAUUCUCCUGGUUGUUAGUAAUGUUGACCUCUUUUAUUAUUAUUGGCCACCUGUAUGUCUUUUAAGAAAUGUCUAUUUAGAUCAUUUGCCCAUGUUUAAAUCACAUUUAAAUUUAUUAUUAUUAUUACUAUUAUUGGGGUACAAGUGCCUCAGCAUGUAUGUGGGGGUCGGAGGACAACUUCAGGGUUGGCUCUCUCCUUCCUCUCUAAGAGCUCUGACCACCAAACAGACCACUAAAUCAGUCUUUACCUGCUGUGCACCUCAUUGGCCCCAGGUUGUCUUCUCACCAUUGAUUGGUUGGAGCCUGAGCCCAGCCGCACUGCUGUACCAAUAUAAUUCCAGCAUUUGAGAUCUGAGGCAGAAGGAGCUCAGGCUCAAGGUUACAAAAGCAAUGAUUCUUCUUAAUUUCUUUUUAUGAGUACCACAACUUGGCAACAAAAGCAAAAACAUUAAGCUAAGAAAUUUCUGUUUAAUAAACAAAACUAUCACACGAGUGAAGAGACU